rnacentral:rRNA from 1 species
UCUUUGACCUCGGAUCAGGUAGGGAUACCCGCUGAACUUAAGCAUAUCAAUAAGCGGAGGAAAAGAAACCAACAGGGAUUGCCCUAGUAACGGCGAGUGAAGCGGCAACAGCUCAAAUUUGAAAUCUGGCUCUCUUUGGGAGUCCGAGUUGUAAUUUGCAGAGGAUGCUUUGGCAUUGGCGGCGGUCUAAGUUCCUUGGAACAGGACAUCACAGAGGGUGAGAAUCCCGUACGUGGUCGCCUGCCUUUGCCGUGUAAAGCUCCUUCGACGAGUCGAGUUGUUUGGGAAUGCAGCUCUAAAUGGGAGGUAAAUUUCUUCUAAAGCUAAAUACUGGCCAGAGACCGAUAGCGCACAAGUAGAGUGAUCGAAAGAUGAAAAGUACUUUGGAAAGAGAGUCAAAAAGCACGUGAAAUUGUUGAAAGGGAAGCGCUUGCAGCCAGACUUGCCCGCAGUUGCUCACCUAGGCUUUGGCCUGGGGCACUCUUCUGCGGGCAGGCCAGCAUCAGUUUGGGCGGUUGGAUAAAGGCCUCUGUCACGUAUCUCCCUUCGGGGAGACCUUAUAGGGGAGGCGUAAUGCAACCAGCCCGGACUGAGGUCCGCGCAUCUGCUAGGAUGCUGGCGUAAUGGCUGUAAGCGGCCCGUCUUGAAACACGGACCAAGGAGUCUAACAUCUAUGCGAGUGUUUGGGUGUCAAGCCCGAGCGCGCAAUGAAAGUGAACGGAGGUGGGGACCCUUUGGGUGCACCAUCGACCGAUCCUGAUGUCUUCGGAUGGAUUUGAGUAAGAGCAUAGCUGUUGGGACCCGAAAGAUGGUGAACUAUGCUUGAAUAGGGUGAAGCCAGAGGAAACUCUGGUGGGGGCUCGCAGCGGUUCUGACGUGCAAAUCGAUCGUCAAAUUUGGGCAUAGGGGCGAAAGACUAAUCGAACCAUCUAGUAGCUGGUUCCUGCCGAAGUUUCCCUCAGGAUAGCAGU